rnacentral:rRNA from 1 species
GCAACCUGCCCUCAAGCUUGGGACAACUACCGGAAACGGUAGCUAAUACCGAAUAGUUGUUUUCUUCUCCUGAAGAGAACUGGAAAGACGGAGCAAUCUGUCACUUGGGGAUGGGCCUGCGGCGCAUUAGCUAGUUGGUGGGGUAACGGCUCACCAAGGCGACGAUGCGUAGCCGACCUGAGAGGGUGAUCGGCCACACUGGGACUGAGACACGGCCCAGACUCCUACGGGAGGCAGCAGUAGGGAAUCUUCCGCAAUGGGCGAAAGCCUGACGGAGCAAUGCCGCGUGAGUGAUGAAGGUUUUCGGAUCGUAAAGCUCUGUUGCCAGGGAAGAACGCUUGGGAGAGUAACUGCUCUCAAGGUGACGGUACCUGAGAAGAAAGCCCCGGCUAACUACGUGCCAGCAGCCGCGGUAAUACGUAGGGGGCAAGCGUUGUCCGGAAUUAUUGGGCGUAAAGCGCGCGCAGGCGGUCAUUUAAGUCUGGUGUUUAAUCCCGGGGCUCAACCCCGGAUCGCACUGGAAACUGGGUGACUUGAGUGCAGAAGAGGAGAGUGGAAUUCCACGUGUAGCGGUGAAAUGCGUAGAUAUGUGGAGGAACACCAGUGGCGAAGGCUACUCUCUGGGCUGUAACUGACGCUGAGGCGCGAAAGCGUGGGGAGCAAACCGGAUUAGAUAGCCUGGUCUCCACGCCCUAAACGAUUGUGCGCUGUGUGUGGGGG